UACGAACCGUCCGAACGUUAUUCGGACUCACUGGGCUUAAAGGGUGCGUAGGCGGCGCGGAAAGUUGGGUGUGAAAUCCCUCGGCUCAACCGAGGAACUGCGCCCAAAACUACUGUGCUCGAGGAAGAUAGAGGUGAGCGGAACUUAGGGUGGAGCGGUGAAAUGCGUUGAUAUCCUAAGGAACACCGGUGGCGAAAGCGGCUCACUGGAUCUUAUCUGACGCUGAGGCACGAAAGCCAGGGUAGCAAACGGG
rnacentral:rRNA from 1 species